rnacentral:rRNA from 1 species
UACAGAGGGGGCAAGCGUUGUUCGGAAUUACUGGGCGUAAAGGGCGCGUAGGCGGCCUGUUAAGUCGAACGUGAAAUCCCCGGGCUCAACCCGGGAACUGCGUCCGAUACUGGCAGGCUUGAAUCCGGGGGAGGGAUGUGGAAUUCCAGGUGUAGCAGUGAAAUGCGUAGAUAUCUGGAGGAACACCGGUGGCGAAGGCGGCAUCCUGGACCGGUAUUGACGCUGAGGCGCGAAAGCCAGGGGAGCAAACAGG